rnacentral:rRNA from 1 species
UGCUUGUCUCAAAGAUUAAGCCAUGCAUGUCUAUGCACAAGCCGAAUACGGUGAAGCCGCGAAUGGCUCAUUACAACAGCCACGAAUACCUGAUUGGUGAUUAUCCUACUGGGAUAACUGUGGUAAUUCUAGAGCUAAUACAUGCAACCAAGCUCCGACCGUAAGGGACGAGCGCAUUUAUUAGAACAAAACCAAUCGGGCUUCGGCCUGAGGUUUGGUGAAUCUGAAUAGCUGAGCUGAUCGCAUGGUCUUUGUACCGGCGACGCAUCUUUCAAGUGUCUGCCUUAUCAACUUUCGAUGGUAGUUUAUGUGCCUACCAUGGUUGUAACGGGUAACGGAGAAUAAGGGUUCCACUCCGGAGAGGGAGCCUGAGAAACGGCUACCACAUCCRAGGAAGGCAGCAGGCA